CUGCACCAGCUGCUGGCCCUCACCCUGUGGAAAGAACAAAACUAUUGUGAGUCGCGAUAUCAUUUUCUGCACUCAGCGGACGGGGAGGGCUGUGCCAACAUGCUGGUGGAGUAUUCCACGUCCCGCGGCUUCCGCAGCGAGGUGGACAUGUUCGUGGCCCAGGCCGUGCUACAGUUUCUCUGUUUAAAAAACAAAAGUAGCGCAUCGGUGGUCUUCACGACGUACACCCAGAAGCACCCGUCCAUCGAGGACGGGCCUCCAUUUGUGGAGCCGCUGCUCAACUUCAUCUGGUUCCUGCUGCUGGCUGUGGACGGGUGCGUCUUGGUAUCCUGCGGGGGGAGGGGGCUGUGAAUGUGUAG
rnacentral:sRNA from 1 species